ensembl:lncRNA
AAGAGGCAGACCUUCAGCACCAGUGAGCACGCCGUGCUGCAAUUCACAAAACAAACCUCAAGACACGCCAGUUCUUGCUCUUGCUACUGUCACGGAAUAGGAAGCAGAUCAAGCUUUCCCAGGUGCCACGCUGCAGCACCAAGCCCCAGCACAGCACAGACGCAGCCAUCAGCUGCACCAGCCGUGCCCCAGGAACUGACCCAAUCCAUCAACCCCACCGAGCCAUCAAUCACUUCAACACACACAGGCAUCAUGUUGUGAGCGUGAGACAAAGCCUGCCAUCGCAUCAUCGCCCUCUGAAAUGCAGCAGGGCUGAGCUCACCACACUCAGGGCAGCAGUUUUCUGACCUGUAGUGAGGCGCGGGCAGCUGCUGGAUGACCUCCUGCAUUCUGAGCAACCGCUCCUCAUCUGUAGCGGCACAAACAGCAUCCUGGAAGAAAGCAGAGAGGGAUUUAGACACACAUCAGUAGAGAUACCUGCCACAGGCUCGGCAACUAUGAAGACAGAACGCUGUUGCUCAGCACUGAGGCGGAUUUUAUGCCUUCCAACAGGCAGAAAAUCCGGGGAACACAGCGGCACGCAGCUGGUGCCAUCAAGGCCAAGCAGUCCAAGCACUGGGCUGCUUUACAGCCUGACGGAUUGUGCACCUCAGCUCCUCGCAAGCAUUGUGAAUAUGGAAAUGACCAUCUCCUGGGAGCAUCAAAAGUGGCAUCAGUAUGCUCAGGAUGUGGCAAAGACAUGCGAGUCUACCUCAUGGAGCUAACAGAAAAUCAGAAAAAAAGACCACGAGGUGCGCAGGCGUGUGUGUAUGCGACAGGCCAUGCCAAGAGGCCCAGGGAAGAGGGACAUGAAAGCCAUUGCCUUGUGCUUACCGAGAACUUGCCAUACAGCUGCUCGGUCAGCAGAGGGGUCGGGAGCUCCCUGAAGUACAUCUUGCACAGGGAGCUCACGCUGUGAACGUCACGGACGCUUAGCUCCGGAAUCUGCUCCGACUCAAAUUCGUGGCUGGAGAGAAGGACACAAAAACAUUGGGCUUUGAGAAAGAGGAAGACAAGUCCAAAGCAAUACACGACAGAGUCAAGAAAAGGAAGGGGUUCCUGAUUCACAGGAGAAAAGAAACGCUCUGACAACUGGCUGCCUACUCCACAAUCACAUGCCAGGAGCCCAGAGCAGCAAGGAGGAGUGCGGGCUGCUCCAAAGGGCUCUGCCAACAAGAGGAAACGGGAAUGAGAGCUGACACCGCAGUCCCCCACAGCCUUCCAAUGCUCUCAAGGACUGAAGGAGAACUUCCUGCCCCAGCAAGUCUACUCAACGCCCCGUGUUCCUAUCAAACAGACACAAGCCUGGCGCACCACCGCUGAGCGCACGCUGCCUGCACACAGCUGCCCCACAGCGCAGGCCUCGGAACGCCCGCAGCAUGGCACAUGCCCCUACUGACAGCUGUGUCAGUCGCAGCACUCUUACCGUAGCUUCUGGAUCUUGGACGCCACGCCAGACAGGCGGUAGAUCCCCUGCACCACGCCGUGCUGCUCAAUGAACUCAGCGCAGCUCUGCAGGACCUGGGGGACUACGGAACAAGUGCCAGCGGUUAGCUGAGCUCCUGAUUCAAGUCCUGCUUCAGCCGCUGCUCCUGUCACGUCCCAUCCACUAAGCCCAGCCGCGCUACUGCAUGCCUCCUCCUUAGAGGAGAAAGAAAGCCGGCACAGACGUCUCUGACAGGCAGGAGCCGGGGAGGAAACUGAACACAGAUGUGUUCUUGGCUUUCCAGAAAUGCCAGGACCUGCCAACCAGCCUGCAGAAAGUAAUUCUGGGGAAGCCAGAGACACUGCAAGUCCCAUCACAGCUCCCACCGCAAUGGAGGCAUGAGACCUCACGUCCAGAAGAGCUAGAAACUGAUGCAGUACACUCUCUUUGGCCAAAAGGCUGCCUUUGUUUUCAGGCUAGCGUGGCAUUGGCUUACACCUUUUGCUUUAAGCAAAUACAAGUGGGCUGCUCUCCUAUGGGCAUUAGCCUCAGCUUACCUUUCAGCCAUCAACUCCCACCUCACCUUUCUCCACCGCUAUCAACCUGCCCCUUGCCAGAGGUGAUCUCCCUUUCAUCUUUACAUGCCCAACAGAGGAAGCUCUCAGGAACGGGCUGUUUCUUACCGUCACGGCCAGAGUGGAGAAGAUGCUCUCCCAGGUCACAGCCAAACACCCCUUCCUUCUCCUUCUCCAUCUCCCGCUGCUUCGGUUUCUUUGGGCGGGCCUUCGCGAAGGAACGAAGGAAGCUGAUGAGCUUGCCACGCUUCUUUGGCACUGCACAACACAAGGAAGAAACGAGUUCAUUUCACGUUGGGAUCAGUGGGACCAGGCCGAGCGUCACACAUUCUACAGAGCACGUAAAAGCGGGAAGAACAUUGCCAACAAGUACAUACAACAGCGGACUUUCCCCGUCCCCGGAGGACUCCAAGGCCACGUUGGAUGGGGCCCUGGGCAGCCUGGUCUAGUCUGGCAUUCAAAGUGGAGGUUGGCAGCCCAGCCUGAGGCACGGGGCUUGGAGCUUGAUGAUCCUUGAGGUCCCUUCCAUCCCAAGCCAUUCUACGAGGAUCCUAUCAUUUGCCCAAGCCCUCAUUCUCACUGCCUACAAAACAGCAGCCAUAUGUCCCGUGGGAUGCAUGAAGGAUCAUCAACACAGAGGAUAACGUGGGAUGGAUAAAGGAGCUAUUCAACACGGAACACACCCAGAAAAAGACUCCCUCUGACUUCCCCGC